CAUUCUCUUUCCCCCUCAUUCAAUAGAUAGGGAUUUCGUGCAUGCAAACUCCCCUCUCACAUUCAGACUAACUAUGUGAUUUAGGUCGCUCCACCUUUGGGAUUAACAGAGAUUUUCUCUCCAAGAUUUUCAACUUUACUGCAUGUUUUUCCAUCUUCCUCAUCUCUUAACUUUCUUUGGAAAGAUUUUUCAAGAUACCAAAUGUAACCACAGCAGGGGAAUUCUAAGCAAGAGGGAACUAAAGGACCGUGCCUUAACUCUUUGAGGUUUUCUGUCUCCAACAAAGAAAGCUGAAGAACCUACAGCUGUUUCUGGAUGUGAAUAGACAAAAUGGCACCCCUACCAUGUGGAACAUCAGUGAGAAUUUUACAUACAGCUGACGCAGAAAAGCAAUGACUGUGGACAAUUACAAAGCAAAGCUUGUAUUAUGCAGUCAUCUUGCCUCCUCUAUAUGAACAUUUAUGGAGGAUCCAAAAGUAUUUGUCUUCUGUUUACAACCUACCAUUUCUUCUAUCUUUUUCUUACUGUUAAGGAGGAAAAGACAAAAUAGUUGCAAAAUGCCUUCUGACAGGUAGCACAGGGAGUAAUUUGUCUGGAUGUUCCCUGCAUAGCACCAAAACAUCCUAGUGUGAAAAUAAACAGUGCUUAGUUUCAGAAUGUAUUUGGUUUAUCUUUCUGGCUGCCUAUUAUGUCUGUUUCUGUCCUUUCCUUAGUGAACUCACAUGCUGGUGAGGUAGCUUAG